AGUGAACGCUGGCGGUAGGCCUAACACAUGCAAGUCGAACGGCAGCACAGUAAGAGCUUGCUCUUACGGGUGGCGAGUGGCGGACGGGUGAGGAAUACAUCGGAAUCUACUUUUUCGUGGGGGAUAACGUAGGGAAACUUACGCUAAUACCGCAUACGACCUACGGGUGAAAGCAGGGGAUCUUCGGACCUUGCGCGAUUGAAUGAGCCGAUGUCGGAUUAGCUAGUUGGCGGGGUAAAGGCCCACCAAGGCGACGAUCCGUAGCUGGUCUGAGAGGAUGAUCAGCCACACUGGAACUGAGACACGGUCCAGACUCCUACGGGAGGCAGCAGUGGGGAAUAUUGGACAAUGGCCGCGAGCCUGAUCCAGCCAUACCGCGUGGGUGAAGAAGGCCUUCGGGUUGUAAAGCCCUUUUGUUGGGAAAGAAAAGCAGCAGGUUAAUACCCCGCUGUUCUGACGGUACCCAAAGAAUAAGCACCGGCUAACUUCGUG
rnacentral:rRNA from 1 species